rnacentral:rRNA from 1 species
CAACAGAGCAGGGCAGCAUGAAAGCCCCGCCAGCACCCAUAUAACUCUUCUUAUAGACUGGUAAAUCGCGGAAACCAGCCCGGCCAUAGCACAGAAGAAGAUGACCUAGCGCUUGGAAGAAAGAAGAACGAAGAGUGAGAAGACCCACCCGCCCCCAGCACAGAAGAAGAUGAUCUAGCGCUUGGAAGAAAGAAGACCAGCCCGGCUCCGGCACAGAAGAAGAUGAUCUAGCGCUCGGAAGAUAGAAGACCAGCCCGGCUCCGGCACAGAAGAAGAACCAGCCCGGCUCCGGCACAGAAGAAGACGAUCUAGCGCUUGGAAGAAAGAAGAAAGAAGAGUGAGAAGACCCGCCCGCCCCCCGCACAGAAGAUGAUGACCCAGCGUUUGGAAGAAAGAAGACCAGCCCGGCCUCGGCCUAGAAGAAGAUGACCUAGCGCUUGGAAGACCGAAAUACAGAAAACAGAAGAAAGAAGCGCCCCCCCCGAAGACGCCCCUACUUGUUGUCCAGUCCCAUGGUCGUCGCCAGCCCCCCCUUUCGUAUUGUUACUUAUUUAUUGCUGUUGCUGUUGUUAUUGCUAUUACUGUCAUGUAAUGCCCUCGCUGAGCCCGCCCCCACUCUCCCCCUCCGGUACCCGCGACUAGCCAUGCUCUGACUCUUGGCGGGACGCUAGGUAGCGAUGGGAUGCAGGGGAAUCUCAAGUGAAGCUCAUACUUGAAUUAGAUUGACGCAGUAAGCGUUCUUCUUCGGGAGAGCCUUACAAACAGUCCAAAUAGCCAAAUGCCUCGUCAUCUAAUUAGUGACGCGUAUGAAUGGAUCAACAAGAUUCCUUCUGUCCCUAUCUACUAUCUAGCGAAACCACAGCCAAGGGAACGGGCUUGGCAAAAUCAGCGGGGAAAGAAGACCCUGUUGAGCUUGACUCUAGUCUGACUCUGUGAAGAGACAUGAAAGGUGUAGCAUAGGUGGGAGGCUGCAGUAGGGCGCUGUUCGGUGUCUCUGUGGUCGCCAAUGAAAUACCACUACUUUGAUCGUUUCUUUACUUAUUCGGUAAAGCGAAAAAAUUGUGGCCAAUUUGGCGGUCUGUCCGCUGUUGGUCAUUGUUUUAAUGUUGGAUUGAAGCUUUGUUUAUAGCCGUCGCUUUGUGUCGCCGUUUGACGCAUUGGCUGGGUGCGUAUUUGUGCGCGCGCGGUAAUGUUGUCAGCGGAUGAUCGGCGAUUGGUUUGAAGUGAUUCGCUCCGGAAACAGUGUCAGACGGGGAGUUUGACUGGGGCGGUACAUCUGUUAAACGAUAACGCAGGUGUCCUAAGGUAAGCUCAGCGAGGACAGAAACCUCGCCUAGAGUAAACGGGCACAAGCUUACUUGAUUUUGAUUUCCAGUACGAAUAAAAACCGCGAAAGCGUGGCCUAUCGAUCCUUUUGAUUGUGUAGAUUUCACGCAAGAGGUGUCAGAAAAGUUACCACAGGGAUAACUGGCUUGUGGCAGCCAAGCGUCCAUAGCGACGUUGCUUUUUGAUCCUUCGAUGUCGGCUCUUCCUAUCAUUGCGAAGCAGAAUUCGCCAAGCGUUGGAUUGUUCACCCACCAAUAGGGAACGUGAGCUGGGUUUAGACCGUCGUGAGACAGGUUAGUUUUACCCUACUGAUGACAAGUCGUUGCGAUAGUAAUCCUGCUCAGUACGAGAGGAACCGCGGGAUCAGACAUUUGGUUCAUGCGCUCGGCUGAAAGGCCGGUGGCGCGAAGCUAGCAUCUGCAAGAUUAUGACUGAACGCCUCUAAGUCAGAAUCUUUUCUAGUCAUUGGCAACGAUAAGUUGCGUCCGGACUCGAUGCGAGGAAACGAUUAGGCUUUGCUGUGUUUU